GCUGGGCAUGGUCACACACACCUGUAAUCCUAGCAGCUUGGGAGGCUGAGACAGGAGGAUCAUGAGUUCAAAGCCAGCCUCAGCAAUGACAAUGGGAUAAGCAACUCAAUGAGAUCCUGUCUCUG
rnacentral:sRNA from 1 species